GGGGAAACCCGCCCCUUUUGGGUCACCUCUGACUGAAUACAUAGGUCAUUGGAGCGAACGCGGUGAACUGAAACAUCUAAGUAGCCGUAGGAAAAGAAAUCAACCGAGAUUCCCUCAGUAGCGGCGAGCGAACGGGGACCAGCCCUUAAGCUGGACAACUGGUAGGAGAAGGCCCUGGAAAGAGCCGCCAUAGUGGGUGAUAGCCCCGUAUCCGAAACCUGAGUCCAGUGAAAUCGAGUAGGACGGGACACGAGACAUCCUGUCUGAACAUGGGGGGACCAUCCUCCAAGGCUAAAUACUCCUGACUGACCGAUAGUGAACCAGUACCGUGAGGGAAAGGCGAAAAGAACCCCUGUGAGGGGAGUGAAAUAGAUCCUGAAACCGUAUGCGUACAAGCAGUCGGAGCGGACUUGUUCCGUGACGGCGUACCUUUUGUAUAAUGGGUCAGCGACUUAU
rnacentral:rRNA from 1 species